GCCAGGCGUGGUGGCACACGCCUGUAGUUCCAGCUACUUGGGAGGCUGAGGUGGGAGGAUCACUUGAACUCAGGAGGCAGGGGUUGCAGUGAGCCGAGAUUAUGCCACUGCAUUCCAGCCUGGGUGACAGAGUGAGACUCUGUCUCAA
rnacentral:SRP_RNA from 1 species